CAAGGCUCGGCUGCGUCUCGUCUGUGGGGAUUCGACUCGACGCUUUGGAGGAACUUGUCCAUGGCUGUUUUGGCCUGGAAUUCUCGCGGGAGGGUGUGACAUCUUUGUAUUUCAAGCUGAUUUCGUGCUUCUGCGCCGCAAAACAAGGGGAAGAAGCGGGCUCGAGCUGCAACCGGCAUGAUUAAAGUGACACUUGGGGUAUGGACAAACAGUUUCCUGUGCUGUGAAAGUGAGUUUGUGGGAUUUCAACAGGCCAGCUGGAUAGCAUGUUCGGUUCUCAGGUACCAAGUACUACAAAUAUCCAUGCAUGAAAAUGGUUACACAUUGUUUAGGCUCUCAUAUUGUAUAUCUUGAGGGGCCUUGGAAUAUUCUCGGAAUAUAGGUUUACACAAAUUUGAGAAA